rnacentral:rRNA from 1 species
AGGACGAACGCUGGCGGCGUGCUUAACACAUGCAAGUCGAGCGAGAGCCAGUUGAGGGGUAACCCUCGACUGGGGACAGCGGCGAACGGGUGCGUAACACGUGGGCAACCUGCCCCUGACACUGGGAUAACCCCGGGAAACCGGAGCUAAUACCGGAUACUCUCGGCCGAUCACAUGGCUGGCCGAGGAAAGGUCCGCCGGUCAGGGGAUGGGCCCGCGGCCUAUCAGCUUGUUGGUGGGGUAACGGCCUACCAAGGCGACGACGGGUAGCUGGUCUGAGAGGACGACCAGCCACACUGGAACUGAGAUACGGUCCAGACUCCUACGGGAGGCAGCAGUGGGGAAUAUUGCACAAUGGGCGAAAGCCUGAUGCAGCGACGCCGCGUGAGGGAUGAAGGCCUUCGGGUCGUAAACCUCUUUCGGCAGGGACGAAGCGAUCAGUGACGGUACCUGCAGAAGAAGCCCCGGCUAACUACGUGCCAGCAGCCGC